rnacentral:tRNA from 1 species
GCCUGGCUAGCUCAGUCAGUAGAGAGUGGGACUCUUAAUCCCAAGGUCAUGGGUUCAUGCCCCACAUUGGGUG